rnacentral:rRNA from 1 species
AUGAACGCUGGCGGCGUGCCUAAUCCAUGCAAGUCGCGCGAACGGACGAGAAGCUUGCUUCUCUGAUGUUAGCGGCGGACGGGUGAGUAACACGUGGAUAACCUACCUAUAAGACUGGGAUAACUUCGGGAAACCGGAGCUAAUACCGGAUGAUAUUUUGAACCGCAUGGUUCAAAAGUGAAAGACGGUCUUGCUGUCACUUAUAGAUGGAUCCGCGCUGCAUUAGCUAGUUGGUAAGGUAACGGCUUACCAAGGCAACGAUGCAUAGCCGACCUGAGAGGGUGAUCGGCCACACUGGAACUGAGACACGGUCCAGACUCCUACGGGAGGCAGCAGUAGGGAAUCUUCCGCAAUGGGCGAAAGCCUGACGGAGCAACGCCGCGUGAGUGAUGAAGGUCUUCGGAUCGUAAAACUCUGUUAUUAGGGAAGAACAUAUGUGUAAGUAACUGUGCACAUCUUGACGGUACCUAAUCAGAAAGCCACGGCUAACUACGUG